GAUUUUCGACAUGACGUACAGUAAUGGAGUCCGUCGGGAAAUUUGGUACUUUAAUAUUUUCUCAAAAUUUGAUAGUUGGGGAGACUUACAAUGCAUCUAUCCAAACUGAUGGACCGUCCUUGCAAAAAUGUGGAUGACAUCAAGACAAAAUUUUCUAAUAGAAAAACUCAGUUGUAACAAACGUUAAGACAAUAAAAUUCGCAAAAUCAA